GAUGAAGAACGUAGCGAAAUGCGAUAAGUAAUGCGAAUUGCAGAAUUUCCGUGAGUCAUCGAAUCUUUGAACGCACAUUGCGCCCACUGGUAUUCCGGUGGGCAUGCCUGUUCGAGCGUCAUUAUCCUCCCUCAAACCCCGGGUUUGGUGUUGGACCCAAGUUGUGUGAACAACUGGUCUCAAAGACAAUGACGGCGUCCGUGGGACCCUCGGUGCAACGAGCUUUUAGGAGCACGCAUCGAGUUGCAAGGAACUUCCGGGCCGGUCUCCUUUACCAUUUUACAAGGUUGACCUCGGAUCAGGUAGGAAUACCCGCUGAACUUAAGCAUAUCAAUAAGCGGAGGA
rnacentral:misc_RNA from 1 species